GAUGCCCCUUGAGGUGUUGCAGCUCAGCCUUCCAUGUUGCAGCUGUGUCAAAAGGCGGCACAGAGUACAGGUGGUCGUCUGCACUGAGUCGCCAUGUUACAGACGACUCGGCGUGAUUUUUGACCGAUAUG